rnacentral:rRNA from 1 species
UACGGGGGGAGCAAGCGUUGUUCGGAUUUACUGGGCGUAAAGGGCGCGUAGGCGGCCACCGCAAGUCGAUUGUGAAAUCUCCGGGCUUAACCCGGGAAGGUCAACCGAUACUGCGGGGCUAGAGUGCAGAAGGGGCAACUGGAAUUCUCGGUGUAGCGGUGAAAUGCGUAGAUAUCGAGAGGAACACCUGCGGCGAAGGCGGGUUGCUGGGCUGACACUGACGCUGAAGUGCGAAAGCUAGGGGAGCGAACGGG